ACAGAUCCAUGUAAGCUGGAGCUGAGGUCGCUGUUCUGGGAUUAAAUUCAUCACAGAGAAUCAAAUUGAAGCAGUUUAUAAAUUGGAAGUCAUCACGUGGAAUAGAAAUCACUCAGCAGCACCACAAGCUCUGAAAGGGUGAAUGUUUUUAAGAGGUCUGGGUUCAAAGUAGCCCUCGCUGUCCUUUUCGUCCCUGAGUCCCAAUCGAGGUCAUAGAAUGACGGAAUGGUUGGAGUUGGAAGGGACCCAUAAAGGCCAUCUGGUGCCACCCCUGCACCAAACAGGGACACCUACAGCUCCAUCAGUGCUCACAGCCCAUCUCCUGACCUUGGCUGUCUGCAGGAAAG